UACGUAGGAUGCAAGCGUUGUCCGGAAUUAUUGGGCGUAAAGAGCGCGCAGGCGGUAUGACAAGUCAGAUGUGAAAGAGGCCGGCUUAACCGGCAAGGGUCAUUUGAAACUGUCAGACUAGAGUGCAGCAGAGGAUAGUGGAAUUCCCGGUGUAGUGGUGAAAUGCGUAGAUAUCGGGAGGAACACCAGUGGCGAAGGCGACUACCUGGGCUGCAACUGACGCUGAGGCGCGAAGGCUAGGGUAGCAAACAGG
rnacentral:rRNA from 1 species